rnacentral:tRNA from 1 species
UGGGGUAUCGCCAAGUGGUAAGGCAGCGGGUUUUGAUCUCGCCAUUCCCAAGUUCGAAUCUUGGUACCCCAGCCA